rnacentral:rRNA from 1 species
UGAGGAACAUGACCUUCGGCGGGGGAUAGCCGGCCCAACGGCCGGGUAAUACCGCGUACGACCACAUGGGGACAUCCCUGAGUGGUGAAAGCAACAAUGCGCCGAUGGAGUGCCUCGCGGCCUAUCAGCUAGUUAGUGAGGUAACGGCUCACCAAGGCGACGGACGGGUAGCUGGUCUGAGAGGAUGGCCAGCCACAGUUGGGACUGAAGACACCGGGCCCCAAGACCUUCCCGGUAAGGGGACGG